CAGGAUGAACGCUAGCGGCAGGCUUAACACAUGCAAGUCGAGGGGCAUCGGGAGUAGCAAUACUUGCCGGCGACCGGCGCAAGGGUGCGUAACGCGUGAGCAACAUGCCCGUAUCAGGGGGAUAAUCCAUGGAAACGUGGUCUAAUACCCCAUAGUAAUUAUGUAAGGCAUCUUAUAUAAUUUAAAGCUUUGGUGGAUACGGAUUGGCUCGCGUGACAUUAGCUAGAUGGUAAGGUAACGGCUUACCAUGGCUACGAUGUCUAGGGGUUCUGAGAGGAAGGUCCCCCACACUGGAACUGAGACACGGUCCAGACUCCUACGGGAGGCAGCAGUGAGGAAUAUUGGACAAUGGAUGGAAAUCUGAUCCAGCCAUGCCGCGUGCCAGGAAGACGGCCCUAUGGGUUGUAAACUGCUUUUGUAUGGGAGCAAUAAGGGCUACGCGUAGUCCGAUGAGAGUACCAUACGAAUAAGCACCGGCUAACUCCGUGCCAGCAGCCGC
rnacentral:rRNA from 1 species